rnacentral:lncRNA from 1 species
ACUUACUUGUAAGAGCCCCAUGAAAAUGAAUGCUCAAGUCCUAGCAACUCAUAGAGUCAGGUCCAUCGAUGUGUCAGAAUCCUUUUUCUACUGAUUUUAUACUUAAAAAUCUAGAGUCAAAUUUUUUCGAAAAAACGUCAGCGGUCGCAGAUCAGGUAGCGGACCGCAUAUCGACCGCAGAGUGAAUCAGAGAGUAGCUAAAUUGGAUGUUGAAAAUGUGGUCCAUCAUGC